UUUUGCGCAAUGGGCGAAAGCCUGACGCAGCAACGCCGCGUGUGUGAUGAAGGUCUUCGGAUUGUAAAGCACUUUCGACCGGGACGAAAACCCCUAGCCCAAUACGCUGGGGCUUGACGGUACCGGGAGAAGAAGCACCGGCUAACUCUGUGCCAGCAGCCGCGGUAAGACGAAGGGGGCUAGCGUUGUUCGGAAUUACUGGGCGUAAAGCGAGUGUAGGUGGUUGUCCAAGUUGGAUGUGAAAGCCUUGAGCUCAACUCAAGAAAUGCAUUCAGGACUGGGCGGCUAGAGGACCGGAGAGGAUAGUGGAAUUCCCAGUGUAGUGGUGAAAUACGUAGAGAUUGGGAAGAACACCAGUGGCGAAGGCGGCUAUCUGGACGGUUUCUGACACUAAGACUCGAAAGCGUGGGGAGCAAAC
rnacentral:rRNA from 1 species